CCUCUUCAGACUCUACCUCGACUAAAGACUAACAAAUUGUAGCACUUAAAUUGUACUUGUAACGUGACUCAUCUAUAGCAAAUUGUAAAUUGGCUUAUUUGAGGAAAUUGCACUUUCUUGUUUCUUGUUCUCCUUUGUACCCUAUGGUUGAAUGCACUUAUUGUACGUCGCUUUGGAUAAAAGCGUCCGCUAAAUGACAUGUAAUGUAAUGAUGGUGUCAAGCGCCUGGCUCAGACGGUGCGGUACACCUGUCAAACGGUAACGCAGGUGUCCAAAGGCGAGCUCAGGGAGGACAGAAAUCUCAGAAGGGCAAAAGCUUGCUUGAUCUUGAUUUUCAGUAUGAAUACAGACCGUGAAAGCGCAGCCUCACGAUCCUUCUGGCGUUUUGGGUUUUAAGCAGGAGGUGUCAGAAAAGUUACCACAGG
rnacentral:ncRNA from 1 species